UCUCGAGGCCAGAUCUAGAGUUUGAUCCUGGCUGAGAUUGAACGCUGGCGGCAUGCCUUACACAUGCAAGUCGAACGGCAGCAUGGGAGCUUGCUCCUGAUGGCGAGUGGCGAACGGGUGAGUAAUAUAUCGGAACGUGCCCUAGAGUGGGGGAUAACUAGUCGAAAGACUAGCUAAUACCGCAUACGAUCUACGGAUGAAAGUGGGGGAUCGCAAGACCUCAUGCUCCUGGAGCGGCCGAUAUCUGAUUAGCUAGUUGGUGGGGUAAAAGCCUACCAAGGCGACGAUCAGUAGCUGGUCUGAGAGGACGACCAGCCACACUGGGACUGAGACACGGCCCAGACUCCUACGGGAGGCAGCAGUGGGGAAUUUUGGACAAUGGGGGCAACCCUGAUCCAGCAAUGCCGCGUGAGUGAAGAAGGCCUUCGGGUUGUAAAGCUCUUUUGUCAGGGAAGAAACGGUAGUAGCUAAUAUCUAUUACUAAUGACGGUACCUGAAGAAUAAGCACCGGCUAACUACGUGCCAGCAGCCGCGGUAAUACGUAGGGUGCAAGCGUUAAUCGGAAUUACUGGGCGUAAA
rnacentral:rRNA from 1 species